rnacentral:rRNA from 1 species
UACGUAGGGUGCAAGCGUUAAUCGGAAUUACUGGGCGUAAAGCGUGCGCAGGCGGCUUUGCAAGACAGAUGUGAAAUCCCCGGGCUCAACCUGGGAAUGGCGAUGGAGACUGCAAGGCUAGAAUCUGGCAGAGGGGGGUAGAAUUCCACGCGUAGCAGUGAAAUGCGUAGAGAUGUGGAGGAACACCGAUGGCGAAGGCAGCCCCCUGGGUCAAGAUUGACGCUCAUGCACGAAAGCGUGGGGAGCAAACAGG